UACGAAGGGAGCUAGCGUUGUUCGGAGUCACUGGGCGUAAAGCGCACGUAGGCGGCUGUGUCAGUCAGGGGUGAAAUCCCGGAGCUCAACUUCGGAACUGCCCUUGAUACAGCACGUCUUGAGUCCGGAAGAGGUGGGUGGAAUUCCUAGUGUAGAGGUGAAAUUCGUAGAUAUUAGGAAGAACACCGGUGGCGAAGGCGGCCCACUGGUCCGGUACUGACGCUGAGGUGCGAAAGCGUGGGGAGCAAACAGG
rnacentral:rRNA from 1 species